AAAAAGGAUUUUUUAAAAUCUACAUACAAAUUGAAUCUCCCUAUCU
rfam:Physcomitrella patens subsp. patens PHYPAscaffold_15 genomic scaffold, whole genome shotgun sequence.